rnacentral:rRNA from 1 species
UUUAAGGUUUAAUCUGCUCAAUGAUUAUUUAAAUUGCCGCAGUAUUUUGACUGUGCAAAGGUAGCAUAAUAAUUAGUUUCUUUAUUGGGAACUGGAAUGAAUGAUUGGACGAGAAAAUUUCUGUCUCUUUAUUAUUUUAAUUGAAUUUUACUUUUAAGUUAAAAGGCUUAAAUUUUAUUAGAGGACGAGAAGACCCUAUAGAGUUUAAUUUUUAUUUAAAUAAUUAUUUUUAGUAUUUAUAUAUAUUAUUUAAAUAAAAAUUUAGUUGGGGUGACUAAAAGAUAAGAAUAACUCUUUUAAUUUUUAUCAAUUAUUUUUGAUUAUAAAAUCUUUAUUUUUAAUUUUAAAAUAAAUUACCUUAGGGAUAACAGCGUAAUUCUUUUUUAAAGUUCUUAUUAAAAGAAGAGUUUGCGACCUCGAUGUUGGAUUAAAAUUAAUUUUAGGUGUAGAAGCUUGAAAAUUAAGUCUGUUCGACUUUUAAAAUUUUACAUGAUCUGAGUUUAAACCGGUGUGAGCCAGGUUGGUUUCUA